UGCCCAGCCUAUAGCUAAGCGGUCUGCUGUUCAACUAUCUACCCCACCUACAGCAGCCUCCACUCCACUACCCACUCCAGCAGCUCUGGAUGCUGCUGGGAGUAAAAUGAACUCAAUUAGUGUGUUAAAUUCUUUCCCUGUGACUGUGAAAAUGGAAGGGGAAGAAAUGAAGAAGAGGGUAGAAAAGAUUGAGAAGAUAGAAAGUGUUGCUAAUGAUUGUAUCUCGCUGCCUUUACCCAAACUGACUGUCUGCACUGCACAGCCCCAGCCACAGCAUCCCGAGCCGGCCGUGCGCCCUGUGCAGCUGCAAUUAGUACCGCCUCUGUCAGAGGCCUCCACACCACUCUCAGCCUCACUGUCUGCUGCUGCCACCCCACUUUCCGCCUCUCUCUCUGCUCAACUGGUUGCUGUUGCUGUGCCACCAUUCACUACACCACUAGUUCAAUCACUUGCAGCUCAGUUAGCUGCUCUAGCACCUGCUCAACUUCCUCUACGAAUAUCACUACAGUCAGUAGCUCCAUCUCUAGUUCUGUCACCUGAGCCGCCACUAGCACAGCUAGCUGCCCAGCCACUUCCAUCCUCUGCUGAAUGCAUAGGGAAGCUCAGUCUGCAAGCAGAAGACUGUGGGGCGCAACCUCUGCUGGAACAAAAUGUCCGCCCUGCACAGCCCCAGCCGCAGCAUCAGGAGCCGGCUGUGUGCCCUGUCCAGUCGCAGUCGGCUUUCCUUUGGCCGGAGGUUGCAAUACCUGCUGGUCACGCGUCUGUCUUCACUGGAGGGACCGAGGGAACGCUUCAGUUGUCAUCCUCUCCACCAUCUGCAGCUGCUACUCUACGUCUACGUCUCCACCGCCAGCAGUCGCCAUGCUGCCACCUGUGGAACUCACUCUGCCCGAGCCGGAGGGCAGCGAGCCGAAGGAGCUCAGUGAGCCGGGGGCGCUCACUGAGCCCGCACUGCUCGCGGACAAGGUCAGCGAGCCGGACUGUUCUCUGUCCACAUUUGUAUGUUGUUAGGUAUGUGUGUGCAUGUGUGUGUAGCUGUUUUCUGUGGCCAAGUUACAGGGACCUCCAGGAAUGGUGGGUGUGGACCUGCUAGGGGACUGGCCACACCCAAAGUCCUUGCCACACACCUGCUGCUGAUCUGGGCUUGUCGGGGGAGCCAUUUAGGAGAGCGAUGGAGCUUCCAUCGACGUGGGACUAUUGCGUUAGACUUCAUGAGGAGUGUGAGACGAGAGAGAGCAGUGAGCACGGGGAGUGCAGAGACACAGGAGCAGAGAGCACUAAACAGGGACUUUUUGGGAAGAAGACACGACACGGGAGUAAAAGGAGAGCACAGGGAUUUAUUGUCAUUUUCGCACUGUAAAUAAACGCACCACUUGCAGUGAAGAGUCCAGCGUUCUGGGUCCUCCUUUCCCCCACAUCCCCACGGCUUGCCCUGGCAAACC